CUCGUUGUUAUUACGGCAGGCAUGCUAACGUGAAGCAAGGAAAUUUAGAAAUAUUCAGUGAAUUAUGUAUCGUUAUAGCUAUUUGAUUAAGUGAACCUUUAAAGGUAGAAUAGCACCAAAAGAUCUACGUACCCUUAACCUAAAAUACUAUAUGAAUCCUACGAACUAAGUUGUACGGAGAAAUAGUACGUUAGAAGUGCAGACUUGAAUACGAAUCGACAUACAUUAGACUGGUUCACGGACUGACAUUGACUGGACACAGAAACGGGACUAAACGUGAGU